rnacentral:miRNA from 1 species
GCUUCCUCAUUGACCGGAAAGACUCUCCUUCGGUCAAUGAGGAAGCGAAACCUCAUCAACCGGAAGGAAUUCCUUCCAAUUGAUGAGUUCAAUCUUCCUCAUCAACCAGAAGGAAUCCCUUCCGGUCAAUGAGGUUUAGCUUCCUCACUGACCGGAAGGGGUUCCUUCCGGUCAAGUGGGAGC